UAAACCCCACCCCCCCUCAUAUACGGUAUCCAUCGAUUUAAUCUUGAUUUCUUUUCUCUUUUUUUCCCUCAAAUCUCACAAAAUAUCACGCAGUAAAUCACAGCGGCACCCCCUCUUCCACAAAGCAACCGCAAAUCGCCCAGGAAGAAGACGCCGCAAAAUCUGCCGGUCGAUCCUCUGCCGAACUAUUUCCGGGAAUUUGUGAACGGUUAAUAGAAGACUGUUGGCAUGAGCAGCCAUCAAAAAGACCAACUUUCAAGGAAAUAAUUGUGACGUUGGAUGCAAUAAACAAAACUCUUGUACAGAAAAGACGGUGGAAGAUUAUUGAUAUCAUCUCAGACUUGGAUUAAAUGCCUGGUGGAGACCGAUCACGUUUGUCUGAUAUUUUGUUUUUGCUAUUACAAGAAAUCAUGCAACAACAUGUUCUUCAAUUGGCCAUUCUAGUUGCUUAUUAUUCUAGCUGUA